UGGAGGAUGAUGGAAGGGGUAGACAUUCCCUGAGGGGAUGGCGGCAGCCGUUGAAGGUUCGAAUCCUUCUCCUCCAACCA
rnacentral:tRNA from 2 species